rnacentral:misc_RNA from 1 species
UAACAUUUAACACGACGCGUAAAUGAGCCCUGUUAUUCAUGUAAAGUGCUUAGAAGAGUCUCGUGUUCACGAGCUACCGAAGGAAAAAGGUUUACGAGAGGGUGAAGAAAAAAGACGACGUCGAGAAAAGUAAAAGAACCAAUGGGAAAGAGAAGGAGAGCCAGUGGGCACGAGACAGAAACGGGUUAUAGAUAUCCAGGUCAAACGGCCGCCAACUUAAUCCAACCCUCCUUCGUUACUCAACUGGUUCCUUUCUGAAAAGGAAACAUGUCUCAUCGCAGGCACAGUACAUACACGCUAUCUUAACACACCUACUUAAAGAGCGCAAAGGAAGGUCAGUCUAUUUAUAGAGCACAACCUGGGAUCAUCGGGCUCUCGACCAUCGAGAGUUCUAUCGUUGUCUUACAUAAUGGAAUAUUGCGCCGGUUUGUUAAGGACGCGAUUGCCUGCCUAAGACUAUCCGAC